ACGUGAAAUCGUUGAAGUGGAACCGGAGAGAGUUGACGUAGUAUGGUGGAUAAGUAUUGCAAGAAUCGCUUCAAACAAUGAAUGUGAUCGAGUAAUAUGUACGUCACCAAAGACUGCGCUGACAGCAUCGACUACACGCUCUGAACUGUGUUGACAUGUUGCCUAUUCUAGUAUAUAGAAUGGUGUCUUGUGUUACGUGGUGAAGUUUGUUGUUAUGUUGUUGAUGUUGAUAAGUAUGAUUAUACACCAAGUAUAAUUAUGUCAGUGUAAAAGUCAACCACCUCUCCGACCCGUCUUGAAACACGGACCGAGGAGUGUAACUUGUACGCGAGUCAUUGGGUGGAAAAACCUUAAGGCGAAACGAAAGUGAAGGCACGGUUAACCGGCUGACAUGGGAAACGUGCGGUAUUGUUAGCGAGACGUUACACCAUGGCCCUGUCUUGUCUGCAUGCAGAUGGGCAGCGGUAGAGCGUACAGGUUGCGACCCGAAAGAUGGUGAACUAUGCCUGAGCAGGACGAAGUCAGAGGAAACUCUGGUGGAAGUCCGUAUCGGUUCUGACGUGCAAAUCGAUCGAUAGACUUGGGUAUAGGGGCG
rnacentral:rRNA from 1 species